GACGAACGCUGGCGGCGUGCUUAACACAUGCAAGUCGAACGGAAAGGCCCUGCUUUCGUGGGGUGCUCGAGUGGCGAACGGGUGAGUAACACGUGAGUAACCUGCCCUUGACUUUGGGAUAACUUCAGGAAACUGGGGCUAAUACCGGAUAGGAGCUCCUGCUGCAUGGUGGGGGUUGGAAAGUUUCGGCGGUUGGGGACGGACUCGCGGCUUAUCAGCUUGUUGGUGGGGGAGUGGCUUACCAAGGCAUUGACGGGUAGCCGGCCUGGGAGGGUGACCGGCCACAUGGGGACUGAGAUACGGCCCAGACUCCUACGGGGGGCAGCAGUGGGAAAUAUUGCACAAUGGGCGGAAGCCUGAGGCAGCAACGCCGCGUGCGGGAUGACGGCCUUGGGGUUGUAAACCGCUUUCGCCUGUGACGAAGCGUGAGUGACGGUAAUGGGUAAAGAAGCACCGGCUAACUACGUG
rnacentral:rRNA from 1 species